CGAGAAGUAGGAAAAGCCUCCCAAAUUAUUCAGAGGAGAGUUAAAACAGGGAAAAUGCAUCUGGCGAUAAGGAGGUGAUGUGGGGACCAAGGUCUAGGCAACUGGGGAAGAGAGACACAAAGAGGCUAGGUUCCUUCUGCGCUGCCCGAUGCUCUGCACAGCAACAGGCGGUUUCCAGAUUUCCGUGAGCCUCCGAGAGAUUUGCUUUGUGGACCAGCGUUUCCAGGAUGCCUGAGAAACCGGCUGGCCAUAGGUGACGGUAUCAAGGCGUAUUUUCCACGUUUCUUCUGAACGGCAUCUUCCCCUUCACCCGUCUUGCCGUUGAAGUAUCUGGGUCUUGUGUUCCCUCCUUGUCCAGGCUUUCCAAGCAGGAUUGCUGCGGUUUCUGCGGUAAAGAAGAAGAGAAAUACCUUGGAAUGCACAAAACACAAAGAGCAGCCAGGCCCAUGCAAGUGCUGCAGAGACGCCGGCUGAAUGACCAGUCCACCUGGUAAAGUAGCUGA
rnacentral:lncRNA from 1 species